rnacentral:rRNA from 1 species
GACGAACGCUGGCGGCGUGCUUAACACAUGCAAGUCGAACGGAAAGGCCCUGCUUUUGUGCGGUGCUCGAGUUGCGAACGGGUGAGUAACACGUGGGUAACCUGCCCUUGACUUUGGGAUAACUUCUGGAAACUGGGGCUAAUACCGCAUAGGAGCUCCUGCUGCAUGGUGUGUGCUGGAAAGUUUCGGCGGUUGGGGAUGGACUCGCGGCUUAUCAGCUUGUUGGUGGGGUAGUGGCUCACCAAGGCUUUGACGGGUAGCCGGCCUGAGAGGGUGACCGGCCACAUUGGGACUGAGAUACGGCCCAGACUCCUACGGGAGGCAGCAGUGGGGAAUAUUGCACAAUGGGCGGAAGCCUGAUGCAGCAACGCCGCGUGCGGGAUGACGGCCUUCGGGUUGUAAACCGCUUUCGCCUGUGACGAAGCGUGAGUGACGGUAAUGGGUAAAGAAGCACCGGCUAACUACGUG